rnacentral:rRNA from 4 species
ACCACGACUCUCGACAAUGGAUAUCUCGGCUCUCGUUUCGAUGAAGA